rnacentral:lncRNA from 1 species
UUGAAAAAUCAAGCCAGCUUUUACCUUCUGUGCAAAGAACACAAACAAAAAAGACAGGGACAUUUACAAGGAGGCCGGAAAGUUUAUUAAAGCAGGUCAAAUCCUGAGAACCUGUCUGAAGACUUAGCAGCUCUCAGGCCAUCAUUACAACUGGACAAACRCCGUCUCAGCUGGCUUUCUUCUCAUCUGUAGACACUGUCGAAUCAAAGCARUCAACCAUGUGUUGACCAUUUGGAUUCCCCAGUGCAUGUACCUGUUCCAUCUGGGGACAACCAGAUGAUGCACGAGAGAGCAGAUCCACGGAGGAGUAGGGGCUCUGUGGUUCCUCAAAGUGUCCUGCUCAUGAUCUCAGGUUGAGACCCCCUCAG